CGGCGCGCCUAACACAUGCAAGUCGAACGAGCGAGAGAGAGCUUGCUUUCUCGAGCGAGUGGCGAACGGGUGAGUAACGUGUGAGGAACCUGCCUCAAAGAGGGGACAACAGUUGGAAACGACUGCUAAUACCGCAUAAGCCCACGGGUCGGCAUCGACCAGAGGGAAAAGGAGCAAUCCGCUUUGAGAUGGCCUCGCGUCCGAUUAGCUAGUUGGUGAGGUAAUGGCCCACCAAGGCGACGAUCGGUAGCCGGACUGAGAGGUUGAACGGCCACAUUGGGACUGAGACACGGCCCAGACUCCUACGGGGGGCAGCAGUGGGGAAUAUUGCACAAUGGGGGAAACCCUGAUGCAGCGACGCCGCGUGGAGGAAGAAGGUCUUCGGAUUGUAAACUCCUGUUGCUGAGGAAGAUAAUGACGGUACUCAACAAGGAAGUGACGGCUAACUACGUG
rnacentral:rRNA from 1 species